rnacentral:tRNA from 1 species
UCCCUGUUGGUCCAGUGGUUAGGACUUCACACUUUCACUGCUGAGGGCCUGAGUUCAAUCCCUAGGUGGGGAA